UAGGGAAUCUUCCGCAAUGGACGCAAGUCUGACGGAGCAACGCCGCGUGAGUGAAGAAGGAUUUCGGUUCGUAAAACUCUGUUGUUAGAGAAGAACAGCGCAUAGAGUAACUGAUAUGCGUGUGACGGUAUCUAACCAGAAAGCCACGGCUAACUACGUGCCAGCAGCCGCGGUAAUACGUAGGUGGCAAGCGUUGUCCGGAUUUAUUGGGCGUAAAGCGAGCGCAGGCGGUCGAUUAAGUCUGAUGUGAAAGCCCCCGGCUCAACCGGGGAGGGUCAUAGGAAACUGGUUGGCUUGAGUGAAGAGGAGGGGGGAGGAAUUCCGGGAGUAGCGGUAAAAUGCGUAAUUAUAUGGAGGAACACCAGUGGCGAAGGCGACUCUCUGGUCUGUAACUGACGAUGAGGCUCGAAAGCGUGAGUAGAAAGCAGG
rnacentral:rRNA from 1 species